UACGGAGGAUCCAAGCGUUAUCCGGAUUUAUUGGGUUUAAAGGGUGCGUAGGCGGAAUAGUAAGUCAGUGGUGAAAUCCUGCAGCUUAACUGUAGAAUUGCCAUUGAUACUGCUAGUCUUGAGUAUAUUUGAAGUGGGCGGAAUGUGUCAUGUAGCGGUGAAAUGCUUAGAUAUGACACAGAACACCAAUUGCGAAGGCAGUUCACUAAACUAUAACUGACGCUGAGGCACGAAAGCGUGGGGAUCAAACAGG
rnacentral:rRNA from 1 species